rnacentral:lncRNA from 1 species
CUUUUUUUCAGCCAGAACUCAGUUCCGGCACCUCUCAGGUGAGUGCCAUUGCUAUUAUAAGAGAACAAGGGAGGUAUUCAUGGUGAGUUUCAGCACCUCUUUUUCUAGAAAAAUAACACUGCUGGCACCCAUUAGUAAUCUGUACCCCUCAUUCACCUCCAGGGAUUGCCCACCUUUUUUAUACCUGGAAGAAGCAUAAACCAAGUAACAAGGCUUUUGAAAGCUAGAACACGUCACCAAGUUAUAGUAACAACAGGUGAGUACAAAAUCUGGCGCAAUGUGUUUAUGCUCCCAGGUAGCAAAAAAAUGAUGGGUUGACUUGCUUCCUUUUGUCCUAGAAUCUGAUUUGCAAAAGAGAGUAGGGCUCCAGUUAAUUAAUCACAUCAAUCUUAUUAGUUGCUCACUAUAACAAAUUAUCCAAGUGAUAUACAAAAACAUUCAGAGCUGAAAAGGCAUAAGGCAUUUGCUAGAACUGUGAUCACUGUUUCCAGUUGGGUCAACAACCCUAACACAAAACAAGUGUAAGUGCACUCCCAAGUGCACUUAAGAUUAAGUCCAGAGUUGUUGCUCCUCUGGUCAGUUCCAUAACCAAUUGUUCUAGGUCACAGUCAAUCGGAGUAUCUAGACCUCUUUGUCAUGACCAGAUCCCACGUGUACACAAGUCUACGUGAGGGUAACUGAAAUUACACAUCGCUAUGGCACUUCUUCCUUUGGAAGCUUACUUGAUUUCAUUCUCCGUAUAAAGAUCACCUGGGCAUUUUGGUCAGGGAGACAACAUUACGUUCCAAGUACUAAAUUACUCUUGGGGUCCAGAAUCUCCACCCACAGAAAUUCUGUGGAAGAGUCUGCUUCUUUGGGGAUUUCUGCUUUGAUGAACUUUAAUAUACAGAGCAAGACCACCUCUGGUAUAUGGCUGCUGAUCCUUCCUAUGUAGCCUGUAUCCAGAGAUGAGUGUCCUGUUCCACUCUUCCAUCUCUCCAUUCCACCAGGUUUUGAUUAUGUCCACUGUGCUCUCCUUUGAGAUGAAGCCCUCCAGUUUGCCCAGCUUGACUCAAAGGCUUCUAGUCUGGGCAUACUACGAUUACCGUAUUUUUCGCUCUAUAGGACGCACUUUUCCCCCUCCAAAAAUGAAGGGGAAAUGUGUGUGCGUCCUAUGGAGUGAAUGCAGGCUUUCGCUGAAGCCUGGAGAGCGAGAGGGGUCGAUGCGCACCGACCCCUCUCGCUCUCCAGGCUUCAGGAAGCUAUCUGCAAGCCUUCGGAGCGCGGCGGGAGUGCCCACCGUGCUCCGAAGGCUUGCAGAUAGCAGUCUGCAGCCCGAAGCCCAGGGAGCGCUGCGCAGCGCACCCCAGGCUUCGGGCAGAUAUCUGCAAGCCUUGGGAGCCGGGAGGGAGAUCCCACCGGGCUCCCAAGGCUUGCGGAUAGCAGCCUGCAUACCGACCUGGUUUGGAGCCUGACGGUGGGGAAAGCAGCGCUUCUCCCCACCGCCAGCCCCACAAGCUCGGGGGACAGCGGGGAGGUGGAGCGCCGUCUUCCCGCUGUUCCCCGACCUGGUUUGGAGGCUGGCGGUGGGGGAAAGCAGCGCUUCUCCCCACUGCCAGCCCCACAAGCUCGGGGGACACCGGGGAGGCGCAGCGCCGUCUUCCCGCUGUUCCCCGACCUGGUCUUUGGGGCUGGCAGUGGGGGAAAGCAGCGCUCCCCCCCCCCACCAGCCCCAAAGAGCAGGUCGAAAGGAACCCAAAGCCUCCAGAGCCCAACAGGAACUCCCGCUGGGCUCCGGAGGCUUCGGGUGAACGCACCUUGAACGCACAGAACGCACCUUGUUUUAGAGGGGGAGAAGAAGAAAAAAAAUUUUUUCCUGUUCUCCCCCUCCUAUGGUCCGGUGCGUCCAGUAGAGCAAAAAAUAUGGUAUGUACUGGGUUUCUCACGCACCCUUCACUACAAGUUCCGAGGGCAAGUUACAACAUUAUACAAUAAUAAUAAUAAUAUUAGAAACGGUUAAAACAAGUUACUACAGUCAGAAGAACUGGGUGGAUCCUAAAGUCUAUAAAUCUCAGGUAUCAAAAGGCCAGUGGAGAGACAUAUGAAGAACCCUAUAGAAGGGAGGGGCCACACAAACCUUAGUGGGGAGAAAAUUCCACAGGUUGGGGCUCCCACAGGUAAGGCCAUCUCUUUGACCUCCCCCUCAAACCCACAAUUGCCCCACCUGCUGAAACACUGCCCCUGCUUCUGAGUGAUGGCUGAAUCAGGAGAAGUGCAGCACCUCGCAGAUUUACUGAAUUCCUGCCCAGACGACUCUGUGGGCAACCCUAUUAGCAAGGACAACAUUUUCUUGGUUAGAAGUAUUUGGGGUACCAGGCAAAAGUCCCAGUUCACCCUUUGCAAAUCAGUUUUGUGAUACAGAGCCCAAAUUAUAUAAACUGAUUAAUUUGCAUUGAAUGAUUGUGAUUUUAUAAUGUUCUAAUUUAAACAAGUCAAGCAAUUUAAAUAAAUCAUAGUACAGUUUUAAUUUAAACAAAAGUGUAGGAGGACCCAGCUAAACAUCAGGGUGGACUCUCUUUCCUUGGAUGAUUUUAAGCAGAGGUUGGAUGAACAUCUGUCAUUUAUGAUCUAGCUGAGAUUGCUACAUUGCAGGGGGUUGGUCUAGAUGACCCUUGGGACCCUUCAAACUCUACAAUUCUGAUUCUAUGACCCAGCAUCAGGCAUAUGAAAGGAAGAUCAUAGUUUUAAUUUAGUUUUCAUUCUUGCUUGCCUUGCCCUCACUCUAGCAAACUAAUCUCUCUCUCUCUUUCUCUCUCAAUCUCUAACCAUUAAACUGUGCUUUGUUGACUGCAAGUUCCUAAUUCUCUAGCCUUUUUUAAAUCUUCAGUUGUUUGUCAACACACAUCAAAGUGUCCUUAUAUAUUUCAGAAAGGAUUAGCAGGAAGGACACGGGCUUAGAAGGGGUGAGGAACGGAUGUUCAUUAGCAAGCAAUCAUCUUCUGGAAAGAAAAAAAUAAUGCUUAUGAUUAAAUGAACAGAAUUUGAAGAAGUCAAUUUUAAAUCUAGCUCAGAAGCGCAAACGGAUCAAAGAAGGGAAUAUAAAUACACCCCUUAGGCCAUGACUUGUUUUGGAAAUUCAGAAUAACCUAUAUCAUUUGAAAUGCAUGGACCUCCCUCAGUUGAAAUCCUCUGGACCAAACCAGUAUAAAUAUCAGACUGUGGACUCUCAGCUGCUCUUACAUAGCACAUCACUGGCAUUUCUAUGGGACAACUUCUAGCGACUGUGGUUGAGAAUCUGACUUUGCAGGCCCCUUCAAUCUCAUCUUGUCAGUUAUGUGUGUUAUGCUCUGCAUUGUUCUGUCUGGUUUUAUGAAAGUAGAGCAAUAAAUUAAGCAAUUCCUGCCUCUCAAGUUCUUUGCUUUAAUUUAAAUGACAACAUAUUAUACCUUUGCAGCACAUUAUUUCCCUCAAAGAAUUCUGGGCACUGUAGUUUCUUAAGGGUUGCUGGGAAUUGUAACUAUGUGAGGGAUAAACUACAGUACCCAGAAGUUUUGGGGGUGGGGUGUGCUUUGAAUGUACUUUGUAAAUAGAGGGUGGGGAAUGGUUUUCACAUUGAGUGUUGUAUUUCCUCAUGGAACCCUCUGGUGCCAGUAGUGGACAGGGCCACAAGCAAAAAUGAGUUGGGCAGUGGACAUGACUCUUUCUACGGUGGGCUACAUUCCAGCCAAAGGUUUCCACAACACACACACCCCUCCAUCCAGGCAAGAAAGACCCAUUCCCAAAUAUUCAAGGACACCAGUGUGAACAGGGCUGGGCAAAGAGUCCUAAGGGGCUGUAUAGUGAGAGGGCUAGAGAGCAUCAUUUAUGCCUUCAACCUGAGAUUCCCCAUACCUGAUCUAAAUACUGAAGGCAUAAAAACCAUACGUAGGAAGCCUCUGCAACACUAAUCAAUUAUGUCAUUUCUGGUGGAGUAGUGAAUUUGUAAUAGAGGAAAUCAUUAGGCACAUUUUACAAACCAAUCCAGUAUUGCGCCUCUUAUGAAUCUAUGAGGUGGCCCUGGAGCCCUUAUUGUAGCCUGUCCAUGGCCUUUGCAAACCUGGUACUCAUCAGUUGCCAUCAACUCCAGCCAAGACGGCUGAAUAAAGACUCCACAGUGUUGCUAUUGGUUGCAGCCAGUCAGGAAACAGGCCUGCACUGCAACACAUCUAUAGCGUGCUCCAUAAAACUCAUG